rnacentral:lncRNA from 1 species
UCGCUUUGGCCAGAAGAUGUCAAACCAUGAGCACGAUAGAUCUGUCGCUUCGGCCAGAUCAAUCGAGGAUUUGUUGAGCAUGGGAAGGAGCGGCACGAGGAGCAGCUCCGCACGCAAGGUCAGUAAGUCAAUAAAUAUAUCCUUUAGACUGAUACAGUUGUUUUGCAGGUUAUUUUUGUUUUGCAGGAACGAUCCUGUCGCUUUGGCCAGG